rnacentral:rRNA from 1 species
ACGCUGGCGGCGUGCCUAACACAUGCAAGUCGAACGGAGAUAUGAUUUCGGUUGUAUCUUAGUGGCGAACGGGUGAGUAAACGCGUGAACAACCUGACUCUAAGAGGGGGAUAACACUCGGAAACGGGUGCUAAUACCGCAUAAGACCACGACCUGGCAUCAGGAUGAGGUCAAAGGAGCAAUCCGCUGAGAGAGGGGUUCGCGUCCCAUUAGAUAGAUGGCGGGUAACGGCCCACCAUGUCAACGAUGGGUAGCCGAGCUGAGAGGCUGAUCGGCCACACUGGAACUGAGACACGGUCCAGACUCCUACGGGAGGCAGCAGUGGGGAAUAUUGGGCAAUGGGCGCAAGCCUGACCCAGCAACGCCGCGUGAGGGAAGAAGGCUUUCGGGUUGUAAACCUCUGUCCUUGGUGACGAAACAAAUGACGGUAGCCAAGGAGGAAGCCCCGGCUAACUACGUG